UCACUAUUAUUACUGUUGGGUCAAACCGUCACUAUUUCGAUAACGUUUAUAAUAAAAAUCGUAUCAGUGAUAGCAUUGGAACAUUAAAAUCGUAUGACAAUUUAAUAUACAGUAACUUCACACCUUUUAAUCCGCGAUGAGAUAAGCACAACUACAUAGCUACAAUAUUAGACCCAUUUUUAACCAACUGAAAAGACUGAUGAUUGUUGAUGAAGCGAAAGAGGUAUGUAAGAUUCGUAGCAAUUGGCGUUCCAUAGUCUCUGCCUACCUCUAUAGGAGACAGGGGUUAUGUUUGUAUUUUAACCAUUUAUGUCAUGAGUCUCAUUUUCAUGUAAUAGAGUCCACCGAAGCUUCAAUUUAAUUUUCCUUUUUGUGUGGAAGUAUUGAAGUAUUCAAACAUAAACUCACGCCUUUAUCGAUUAUUGUGGGCAUAAUCUACAGAGCAUUACCUAUUUUGAUCCUUCUAUACUUCUUGCUUCUAUCACUUGAAUACAUUUAAUGAUACAAACACACAGUAUCCCAUACAUACAUACAUACAUAACCUCACGCCUGUCUCCCAUGGGAGUAGACAGAGACAAUUGAACGCCACUUCUUACAUUCCCAUUCGCUUCAUCAACAGUCAUCAGACUUUUCAUGCAUGCUCGUCGAUUAAAGGUACUUUUAAUUUGGCAGUAUCCAAUAAGAUUUCCAUAACUAUUUUAUACUUCUUCCUAGCCAUUCGAGAGAUAAAAAAGCGAGAUGUUACGCUACGUUUUUAUUGAUAUUUAUAAAAGUGACCUCAAUAUCAACAAAAACAGACUAUGUAUCUAAUUCUAAUGUAAUGCACCAUUGACUAUCACACAAAUACUUGGCAAUGAAACAUUUCGUAGAAAUAAAUAGGUCGUUGUGACUUUGUACUAUGUUACCAUGCUAAUUUUGUUAUUGACUUAUAAAUAAAAUUGUAGUGUCUGUUUGUAAUAUUGAAAUGAAAUAAACGCUUUUUUAUUACAUGUAUAUGAAUAUACACUAAAAUAAUAUUUGUCUGUCUGUUUGUUCUCGCUAAUCUCUAAAAUGGCUGGACCGAUUUUGAAGGUACUUUUAUUAACAGGCAGUUGAUGUACUAAGGAGUAACUUAGGCUCUUUAUGUUACAAAGUCCAUAAUCCUCGUGAGCGAAGCCGCUUGCAUCAAGUUCUACAGUAAAAUAAGGAUGGAAAACAUACCUAAUCAAGCCAUAGGCAUUAGGCAUAUCCUAAUCGCAAUUUAUUUAUAAAAAUUAAGUACUAAUAUAUAAUAUGUAACAAAUAUUACUAAUAUAUAAUAAAUAUAAUAACUAAUUUAUUUUUAGAUGACAUUAUCACAUUACAUGACUGUAUAUGGAUGUGGGAAACCGCAAAGCCGUAUCAUGUAAUAGUUACUUACGCCAACGCAAUUUGUUUUAAAUAAUACAAGAUUAAAACAUAAUAAUACAUUUUACUAUUACCAUAAAUGUAAAAAGUCGGUCGAUGCAAUUAUUAAAUAAAUUCUAUUUAUUUGCAAUAAUUUUUUAUCAGCUAUUUUAGUACAAUUUUCCUUAUUUACACAGAAAAACAAACAAAACAUGCGUUAUUUCACGCCGGUUUGUGUGUGAGGCCGUGGUAUCACUCCGGUGGAGCCUUUAGCAUUGCUCUCACAUGUGUAUGUUUUUAAAGUGUUUAUCUUUCAGGGAGGAAAUCACUUAAUCACUUCUCGCAUGAGAGCAGAGCGAGUGUCAGACUCUUACUAACUAAAAACCACCCCGUUCCUACUCCUGCUUUUUGAGCCAGAGCCCCGGUAACCCGCUAGGCAGUCUGCAGCAAAGUAAUUCUGGCUCAGAACUUAGACAAAUUAACAACAAACUAAAUAUGAAAAUUGGUUCAGCCAUUAAAAACAUAUAAACAAGUAAUUGCAGCUAACUUGAUAUAAUAGGGAUGAUGACGGGGUAUGGAAAUUAAAAAUCUAUUUAGUCCGUCAGUUAGGUAAUGAAAAAAAUAUUAGAUACGUUUUUUUUUGUCAUAUAGAUAACAAUUAUUUAGAUAGAACGCAUCAAAGUAAUUAACAAGUCGGUCAUUAAAAUAAAAAUCAUCUACAUAGCCUAUUGACUAUAUUUUUUAAUGUUGAAUAAUAUUGUAAAAUGUAGAUACCUAUAUCUUCAGUACAUACGUACUAUGUAAUAAUGUACAUAUCUGAGUUGUUGAAAUGUAAUAAGAAUAAAGUAGGUAUUGUAUUACUAUUCAAGGAAAAUAAUAGACACUGUUUAUGUUCUCAGGCUAACAGAAUUACAUAGAAUGCCUUAUUAUGCUAAUUACAGAAUUAAUCAUGUAAAAUACCGCUUUUAUACAUAAAAUAGGUACCUAUAUGUUAUGACUACUUCAGAUAGAAGCGUCAAUACCAUUUUUGGAAAUAAAAACACCAGACAAUUGCAAUUGUUUGUUUGAUUGAACGCGCUCAUCUCAUGAACUACUGGUUCGAUUUUGAAAAAAAAAAACCUUUUUAUGGCAUAUUCCAUAAAACAUCACGCUGCCGUGCAUAGGAACCGAGCAGCGGAGGAAACCGCACGAAAACAGCUAGUACCUAAUAUAUCUCGAAUCAAAUAAUACUUUGCUCGACUUGAGAGAAUAUACCAACGAAUUGCAAGACCUUCCUUAUUAUUAACCUCGAGAAAUCAACCCGAAACCUUGCCCCAUUCACCUAUCUAUACUUUCUAUCAAAAGUAAUUUACUAAUGUCACGUUAAAACUAACUUUAACACUAACUUACGUGCAAAGAAAACUGUUCCCUUGAACAGUAAUAAUACAGUAGGUACAGGUACACGAUUUUUCCGCAUAAUGGCUUAGUGACGUCAUCGCCGCAAAUUGCUCGUUGCGUAAUAGCGCGCUAUAGUAUAGCAAAGUGACCCCAUAAACCAGUUUCGGAGUCUCACUGACCAACGACCAAAUAACAAGAGAGAAGGCCGACUCAUUGUACAAAAAAUCACUCGAAAUAAUAUCGUUUUUAAUCUGCACAAUUGUUGAUUUUUAUAUUUUAUUUGUGGUUCUGUUUCGUGUUAAUUUUCUUGUUUGAUUUAUUCGAUCAUUAAGUCUUUGACUGCCAAUAGAAAACUGUUGAAGGCAAAUCCUCCGCUAACGUCGGUCACCGGUGACCACCACGGCGUUCAAUGUGUUAAAUAAAU